ACAACAAAACCCAAAAAACAGUCAUCCUCCAGGUAGAAGAGACAGAAAAAAGGGUGCGGAAGAGACUUAAAAGUCUCAGGCCUUCAAGCGUAUUUGCCUCAGCCACCCAGGAAUCGUGCAGGAAAACUAAAACAACAUGGCGACAAGCCCCUCAGUCUUGGGGAAGCGGACGGUUUCCCAGCCGAGCUUUAGGAGGAGGCGCCGCGGGGCCUCACGGGUGACGUCGUCCCCGGGGGUAGUUUGCGCGGAGGGUCGCUUUGGGCGCGCGUAGAGCCGCGCGGCGCCUGGGCUGGCGAAUCCCAGGCACAGUCAUUUGCGGCCCUGUCCCGGCGCGCGAGGGGCCAAGGCUGGCCGGGGGCUGGGUCCGCGCGGUGGCGACUGCAUCCUGCCAUCUUCCAUCUCUCCGCCUGAGGCGGUUGCCAGAGUCAGGUCUCCAGGCCGGGCGCUCACACGUCUGUGCCCAGGGAGGCCCCAAGAUGCUGGUGAGGCCUCCACCCGGACUGGUGUCCAGGCUCUUGACACUGUCGUGAAAAGGAAUUCAUGGAGGAGCAGAGCAAAAUGUGGAGAUUCAUUGCGAAUCUCCUGAACAUACUGAAGAAAGAAAAGUGCAGGCAUACCACAGAGCAUCACGCCCAACGGGGUUUGGGGCUGCUACCUGUAAAUAUUUAUUUAACCGAGGGGUGAAAUAUUCAUGAAGGUUCUUGGAAAAAGCAUAUGAGAACUCAUAUGGGAGAGAAGCCCUGUGAAGGCAAUCAAUGGGAAGAAGCCGUCAAAUGCAGCUCAGCUUCCUUGCAGCAUGACAGAACCGAUACAGGAAAGAAAAUCUGUGAUUGUAAAGAAUGUGAUAAAGCAACAAGAAACAAGACCUCCCAGCUCAUCCUGCAUCAAAAAACUGAUUCUGGGGGAAGCCCUGUGAAUGUACUGAACGUGGGAAGGCUUUUAGUUGUCACUUGAUAUUAUGGAAAAGCAGAAUCGAAUCUUCAUAAGCAGAGAUCACGAUGAAGCACCGAAGCAUACUACACUGACUGAUCAGUUUUCUCAAAUACGUGGUUUGCACACAUCUGGAAGAAAAUUAACCGAUGGUAGUGUUGUCAUCACUAAAGAAGGCUGAGAAGUGUCAGACAAGUUGGUGAGGAAACCCCCAAACUAUGGCAAUAUUAGGAGAUGGAAAUCCAAGCCUAAUUUGGGUAUGGAAAUAAUCACAUCCUGGUGCCAUCCUGGGAGUGACCAAGCAACCUCAGAUAGAUCCUGGGAAAAGCAAGAAUGAUGCAGAAAGAAGAAACACAUGACAGGACUUGGAUGUAGGAUAGAGCUGGCAAUCAAAGCAUGUGCUUGCUGAAACUCCUAGAUACUGCUCUUCUUUCUGCCCAAACUGUGCACUCAUUGGUCAGUCAGUAUAAGUAAUAAUAACACUGAACACUUA